GGGUCUGUAGCUCAAGUGGUAGAGCACCGGUCUCCAAAACCGGCGGUUGGGGGUUCGAGUCCCUCCGGGCCCG
rnacentral:tRNA from 1 species